rnacentral:lncRNA from 1 species
UACCUCUGGCAUUCCUAUCAGAGCCUGAACCACAGACAGUACCUUAGAGUCUAAGCUUAGGUACCUUUGUCUUGUUUUUGUGGCUAAGGAUUCUCAGAGUUGCGGGAUGCUGAUGAAAUUUAUCCCAAAAGAUACAUGAUCCCUUAAUUCAGGCUCAGGCUGAAGAACUGACCCACUUACGACAGAAGACACAGGAAGGGAGAGGUGUCUGCUACCUUUUUACCCAGCAUGUGAAGAACACAGUCAAGUCUUUUGAGGGCCUUCUCAGGAACACUGGCAUUGCCUACUACCAGAGACAGAGAUUCUGUGAGCAAAUGGUACAAGGAAGCCAGCUGACAGAGAUCCUUGUCAGAAAACUUGUCACAGAAUCACCCCCAAUUCUCACCAACAAACUGAGAAGAAAAAAAAAAGAAUUACCCCCAAGAACAUCUGAGGAAGCACAACAGGGACAGACUUGAAGGCACCUGGGCAGUCCUCUGGUUUUGGAGUAGAGGCUCAGGAGGGACAUCAAGGAGGAAGAAAUGGAUAAAGUCCUGGAGGGACUUCAAACAGUAUUUGACCCAUUCCAGCCGCCAUGACUCCCACCAGCUUCGCAGCAGCAAUGCCUUCCUCUUUGAUGCACAGGAAGGCCCCUCGGCUGUGGAUAUAGCCAAUGAGAUCCAGAGACAGCGGUAGCACCUGAAGGAGACCCUUUUCAUCAACAACUGCCUGUGAGAAAAGCUGGAAUGUCAUCUCAGCAGCUUUGAUGAAGAAAAUGGUGGGAGAGGCCCAACAUGCACCUCUAAACUCUACAGGCACAUCAUAGAUUCCAUCGUCCAGCUGUAUAAUGAAAACAGAGUUCUCAGAGAACACCGGAGACUCCCCCGACUUGCCUGAAUCAAGUUUCUAGAGGUAACAACUGAUGUUGGAACUAUGAAAAGCUCUUCUCUACUUUUAACAAAGCUUAGUCACAAACAGUUCCCCAGUUGACGAGAACAACUAAAACAACAGAACAAUUGAAAGUCCAAAUUUGAAAGCUCCAUCUCCGAGAAGCAAAUUUUACAGCCACUCCAGAUUUGUAUUCCAAAUGGAUAGUUUGAUUAUAAAAAUCACAUCCCUUCAGCCUGCAAAUGUGAUAACUGCCCAAGAGACAGUGAUGCCUACAUCCAUAGAUAAUCCCCUUUCCCCCAACCUAUAUAUAACUGGAGUCAACAGCAGCUGGAGGAAAAUGGCAAGGACUUGUAAUCAAGAUUAAGUUAGAAAAACACUGCUGUAGACUGUUUAUCAGCUCUUCAGCAUAUGUCCGUUUUCCUUGAAGGAUGAGCGUUUAGAAACCUCUGACAAUAAAGUUUAUUUUACACAC